UACGAAGGGGGCUAGCGUUGCUCGGAAUCACUGGGCGUAAAGGGUGUGUAGGCGGGUCUUUAAGUCAGGGGUGAAAUCCUGGAGCUCAACUCCAGAACUGCCUUUGAUACUGAAGAUCUUGAGUUCGGGAGAGGUGAGUGGAACUGCGAGUGUAGAGGUGAAAUUCGUAGAUAUUCGCAAGAACACCAGUGGCGAAGGCGGCUCACUGGCCCGGUACUGACGCUGAGGCACGAAAGCGUGGGGAGCAAACAGG
rnacentral:rRNA from 1 species